rnacentral:rRNA from 1 species
UGAGGAAUAUUGGACAAUGGGCGGGAGCCUGAUCCAGCGAUGCCGCGUGAAGGAUGAAGGCCCUCGGGUUGUAAACUUCUGUCACUUGGGAUGAAGAUCUGACAGUACCAAGAGAGGAAGCCACGGCUAACUACGUGCCAGCAGCCGCGGUAAUAA